GGCAGGGGCGGCGGGUGGACCUAGCACCGGUCCGAUGGCAAAAAAGCGUCGAAAAGCAGCGAAAAGUUCCUUUGGGGUCUCCGCGGCUUCUGAGUGGUUUUUCCACGGCUUGGAGGGUCUACGCUGUCAUCACAGACAGGCAGGGGUCGGCAGGAAGUGGCAGGCAGCAGCAGUGAGCUGCAGCAGUUUCUGCUAGGCAGAAAACUGAUGCGGGCUUCGCGGGGUCUGGUGGUGGGGCUGGGGUGUUACAGGCAGCGGUGGGGCCGGUUCCACAUGGUUGGUUCAGCCGCGAUGGUGGCGGGGCGGCAGGGGGUGUCCUGGCAGUUUUAGCGUGCUCUGCCGCCCGGGUUUCCGAGCUACCGCUUAGGGAAGCGUCCUGACCACGUGUUAGAUGUUGGGGCUGCCUCUCAGCCUAACUCACCGCUCCGGUGUAUGUUGGACUCCGCUCCACUCUCUCCGGCUGUCCCGAUCUGUUGUUUUUUUCUUUUUUUCUUUCUCCUUUUCUUCCCGUUCCUGUGCACUAUCCCUAAUAUUUUUGGAGCUCUCUAAACUAGGAUUGCGUUUCUCAGAUGCUCUGAGACAAUGACUUAAAGACGUCUGCGUUUUUUUCGUUGAAAAUUCCCAUCUCCAAACAAUCGAGAUGAUAAACGGAAUUACCGAGUGUUUUGCCUGAUUCAGGAUAUGCUAAACUGACCUAAUAUAGGUUGAAAAGUCCCAAGUUCGGGUGCGCCAUAUGUAGCGUGGCGUACUUUACAUGGUAAAGAAGGAAGCACACUCUUUGUGAGGUGGUGAGACAAAGAGGCUUUAUUUCAAAUUUCGCGCUUCCCUUUAUACCCUGAUAUCAUGUGACCUUCUAACCAAUAGGGUUAUCCAUUUAGACGCAUGCUCCUUUGGGUUUCUCAGCCCUGGCACGUCCCCCGUGCCUUGGACACGUCUCCUACAGGAGUGGUUCUAGUGUUUUUCCUUAGUGAAAUCAUCAAACUAUAUUUUUGUUUAGAACCUCUUUCUAGGAUGAGGGGUGCGUCUGCAUUUGUGUAUCACAAAAAAACCCUUUGAGUCUGACUGAAGAGCCCUGAAAAGCUGUUUUGGAGUGAUCUGGCAUACAGACUUGGAAGUAAAACUCUUCACAGGGUUGGAUAUGCCUAGAUGCCAGGUCAGUGAGAUCCCUUCUGCACUUUUCAGGUUACGUGUUUUCUCCCUAUCUGUACAACAAGGCUUAACACCUCCCUAGAAAGUUGGAGAUCUGUCACAAUUUAAAUUACUAAUUUGAUGGUCAAACAAUUUCUAAUUCCUUGUCAGAGAAAAUCUCCUAUUUUUAGCUUUGAUCAUAAAAACUUAAAUGUCACAUUUGCCUGACAGAAAUACAGAAAUAGAAACCAAUUAUGUGUGUUCUUAAAUGGUUCAUAUACUGAAAGGCAUUUGAAUGUCUUCUGUGAGACUGUUACAGUUGCCCAGUCAGACCUGAAACCCAGGUUCUGGAGGCUCAUCGAGUGACUUUCAUGCCAGCCUGCAAUAUGUGUUCAAGCAAUGCAAAUCUCUUGGAAAGAGGAGUCUGUCUUGACCAUUUGGACCAAAGAAAGCUAGAAGGCAGUAAAACCCAUAUAGAACAAACAAACUAUCCAGAUUAACUAAAGACAUAGAAGGGAGGGAAGAUUUAGUUCAUGUUCACAUACAUCUGGUUCCAUUAAAGCCUAUGGGAAAUAUUCAGAUAUACGCAAAACCUGAAAAUAUGACCUUAUUAUAUGGCACAGUGAUUAGGGAGCUUUAGAAUGGAUGGAAGUAAGUUUUUUCUAUGAUUUAAUGUCUGAUUAUAACUUUUUUUUUACCUAUUGAAGUAGAUUCUGUUUCUAGAGGGAAAUCCAAUAUAUCUUAAUCAGUUUAUUUUCAUUACAGAAAUGCAACCUAUACAUAAAUGCUAAAUUAGUGAUGGGGUAGAGGAGGAGGCUAGUGGUGGCUGGCCAGGUUUUUUAUAAAGGGAGAGGCAGGGAUGUCCAGCCCAAUAGAAACAGCCGAGACAGAAUCCAAGUUCCUAUAAAUUAGUUCUUUCCUUAAAAUAUACAUGUUUUGCAGCUGAACCACCUACUUCAAAAAUUAUAUGACUGCUUCAAUGUGCAUAUAAAAUGUUUCCAAAACACUUUAACAAAUCCAUUUUACUGGCAUCAAUAAAAAGGUGCCAUUCAUUUGAUUAACACUGAAAAUUUGAAGACAUGAUAAAACUCAAUCUAUAUAGAAAAGUGUGAAAUGUUGCCCAAAAGUGAGAAGGCAUUCUACACUGUUGCCCUUUAUCCUCCUCAAUGAAACAAAGAUCAGAUAGGAUUGUUACAUACACCUGAAAAAAUGGGACAAGUUAUGAUUCAACAAAUUAUGAUUCUUCUUCCUAAGCCACAAGUCUUUGGCCAUGGGGAAUUGCAAACUGUUAAUGAAAAGAUCUCCUCUUUACUAUACUUCUUACUGGGAUAAAGGUAUUUUCCUGUCUUCACUGGAUUCUCAUACUCUGUUUAAAUGCUGUAAGUCUCAUAAGUUAAAUGAAAACUGACCACAGCUUCGUUUUCACAAGGCAGCACAGAGAUUUCACUCUGAUAGAAUUGGUAGAGAUGAUCAAGUUUUUCAAAGAGCAGUUCUCCAGAUAGUCCAACCUAUCAAAAUUUAAACUUCUUUUCAUACCUUGUUUUUGACAGACAUUUAUUAUAUAUAUUUUGAGGGACUAUCUUGACCUUGUUCCAUGGGCUUCAAGUAACCAUUUUUGGUUACCACUCCUAGCCAAAGCAAAUGCCCUUUUUAUCUGCUACAUGAGGUUACCCAUGGUUCAGCUUCUCUUCAAAGCCUUUGAAAGGCCCGGAAAGUCAGUUUCAGCUCUUUCCAUUAUUUAAUCCUUUCAUUCAAAAGACAUUAAGUUUGUAAUAGCUGCUAAAGUAUUUCAGAAAAAAAGCUAUUCCUACUGUGUUUUAUUAUGCCUGAUGCAUCCACACAGCCACCCAAGAAUGAUUACACUGGCAGGAAAAACAGUAAUAAAGAGUUAUAAUCUGUGUUUGGAUGGCGAUUACAUAAUUUCUAAACAGUUAAAGAAAUUUCUUUUAAUGUAAUUUCUGCAGCACAAAUCAGGAACAAACUUAUAGAACUGGAUGGCCAUUGUGCAUCUGGUUUCUGUUACUGAGAAGCUGACAGGCACCAUUUACUCAGACCAUCUGCAGAGAAAAUGUUGGCAUUUUUUUGUUCUGUUUUUCUUCUAAGACAAACCAUUUUUGCUGUCAGCAUCUCAGGCUUGAAGUAACACAAAGCACGUGUUACUUCCAGAUAAGGGGAAUGGUACUCUUAAAAAUGUGCCAUGUAGAAUUUAAUCAUAUACUUGACAUAUGAGGGAUACACUCUUGAGAAAUAGAAUGUCUCAUUUUAAAUAUUUGUUGUGUAUUAAGGAGCUGAUACAAAGUCUGCUGUAAUUGGUGUGUGUCUCCCUAGUUUUACUAGCAUGCAUCAGAUCCUCAGUCCUUUCUGAGAUUUGCUAACAGACUCAGAUUCUGUGAAAAUAUUAAUAAUUUGUCUGCCUUUUCACUUGCAACAUCCUAACUGUGUUAAAAUAUUCCUUUAAUGGAUGCUCAGAGUUAAGGAAGACUAUAGAACUCUAAAACUUUCUUAAAUAAAAGAGAAAUGAAGGGGAGCACCUUACAUUACUUAUUGUAAUGAAGAUCUUUACUCACUAUUUUUUGUGUGAAGUCCAAAUUAUGUUGAUGAAGGUACCUCAAGGCUUUAUUUGACAAACAGGACAAAGCUGUUGCUGCAUGCCAGCUCCAAACAGCGGAAAGAGACAUCCAGAUGCCAGUGUUGACUGGCAUCUCUCAAAAUUAGGUGUGCACUGGAGCUGAUGUUUGGGGCUGAAGGGCACAAAGAGAUUAAAGUAUUAUUGGUUCUUCCUGCAAGGGAUGGCCAAAUAAUCCAACAGCUCCUGAAGACAGAGAACAGAAUUUCCAUGCUAGUGAAUAAACUCCAUGAAUGCAUGAAUUUUGUUAGAUUUGAGGGCAAAUUCAGAGAAAGCCACAUCCAGUCUGUAGGCUAAGAUAAGCUAAAAAAAUAAUAAUUAUUCUACUAAUACAUUUGUGAAACAGAAGUCCCAUCCCUCUUUCAAAGAGUUUUUAGGAUCUGAAAUAAAGUAAGAAGCAGUUUUGCUGGUAUUUAAAAGAUUUUUUUUCCUUUAAUUAAGGCGUCUUUCAGGAAUACCUAACUUCUUUUUUAACAAUCUAGUAAUAUCACCCCUUACGGAUGUAGUAAACAUCAGGGCAAAAGACAUGAGCUGUAUGAUAUCCUUCCACACUUAGAGUCACACUACAAUUACCAACAGCUUUGCCAUUUGUAUGAUAGCACUUGUUUGGGGGGUCCUUGAAACUGUAUGCCAUUGACCAUCUCACCUACAGUGUGCUGUCACUUAGAUGACAACACUUAAAUCCUUUUUACAGCCUGCUCCUUGGUAUUUAAUUUAGUCCUUGUCAUAGGAGGUUGACAUUUCUAGUUUUGGAGGCUGAAAGUCUUCUUCUCCCUAGAAAUAAUGAGAGAAGGCAACCAAUAUUUCUUCCUGCAGAACAGGUAGAGGCAAACUUUCCCAGCUAUCUCAGUCUUAUAGUUUCACCUCCAUCCAGAUGGACUAAUCAGUAAAUGGAAAGUGCCUCAGCUCUUUCCACAGAAAAUCCACAGGAUGUUUAUUACUGUCAGGGAUGAUAAGUUUUGCUGCAUUGUAUUCCUAAAGUGAGUAGUUACAUAUUAAAGUCCUCCUUCAAAGUAGAUUAGCUGUUUACAGAUGAAGAAGGGCUAAAAACUAAAAAAUAUGAGGGUAGGCAGGAGGAAUGCUAUCCAGAGAUGCAGAAAAGUUUUUGUGGUUCUCAGUGUCAGUCCAGUAAAGUGGAUGCAAGUACAACAGGUUUAAGAUGCAUUAGGAAAAAAUAUUUUAAUUUUUUUUUUUGCAGCAGCAUCUGUUUCUAUUCUGUCUCAUAGAAAAAAUAGCAACAAUCUUACACAACAGUAGCUGAAACAGUCAAAAAGGCAGUAGUAUUGCAACACAGUCCCCUGAAGAACAGUAUGUUCUGUUGUAGCUUUUUUUUCUUUUUUACAGAUGGUUUUCAGACAAGUUUCUGACUUUAAAUAUUUGAUUUGAUGGUUGUUAGAAUAAUAUGGGCAAAGAACAGCACAAUUCACAGAUGGACAUCUCUUUACUAAUCUGGUUUAGUACAAGAAAUUCUGUGCUUCUUAUUAAGAAGAACAAGCUCCUUUAUCACUGUCUUAUUUGGAUUUUAAGUCUCCUCUGCCUUUUCAGAAUCAUAUUAUAGUCUGCUGUCACACGAGCUUGGACUCUAAUUAUCUCAUAGCUCAAACAGUGUUAAACGUUCUCUGGGGCUGGUUGGGUGAAUUCCAAGAAAAAUUUAAGCUGCCACAGGAGCUGAUUCUGAUGCUUUCAAUAUGUGACCUUUGGCUGAUCGUGAAUUGUACCAAUAACCCAAUCUGGUGGUGAUUAUAUCCUCUUCUAAAUCCAAAGUAAAACUUGGAUUUUGACCUUAAGAGAUAAUGAGGAAGUACCACUGGUCUUAAAGACCCCCCUGAAUAUGCACACAUCGGUACCCAGAGAUGCCCAUGGCAGAAAAUAAAAAAUUAACACCAGAUGGAUAGUUCCUUCUUUUAAAAACUGGUCCAAACAGGACAGAGUUUUCUUUUCUCUCUCCUUCUACAGGUAUUCCAUGGGAAGAUGAAGUGGCAACAGGGCUUAAGAGUUACACUGUUCUUCACUGCAUUGAUUAUUUGCAUACAUUUUUGUCUUGAUAGUUUUGCGAUAUAUGUUUUGUCUCAGUAGUUUUCCAGUAUGUAUGUAAGCUUGCCACAAACAAUGUUUUGGGCUGUUUGUGUCUCCUCUCUGGUUGCCACAGUGGGUGGGAACUCAUACAGGAUUUCAUAAGUUUAUGAUCAGAUUUGUAUACCCUUCCUACCUCUUUGAAGCAAAAUAUAAAAUUACUUUGAAUUGAGAAAUAAUCAGGACUUGAGAAAGAAGUGUGAUUUGAUGCCAAAGGAACUGCAUAAAGUAGUGGAAAACAACGUAUCAAGCAUGAUUAUGCAGAGGAAGGGGAUGUUGAACUGUUGGUGGCCCCUGGAGGGAAGGAAAAAGGGUCUGACAGAGGAGCUGAGGUAGAAGCUGGAAAGUUUUCUCCAGCUGUAGGCAAAGAAGGUGUAAGUGGUCAAGUAGUCAGAGGAGUGGAAGGAAGGAUUUUGGGUUUGGAAACCAAUGAAGAGUUUAGUUAAGUGGGGAAGGUAUUUAUUUGGUCUGAACCCAGGAACCUGACUGAGAUUAUAGACUGAGUAUGUGGGAAUGGCUUGAUUUUUCACAGAAUGACAGAAUAUGCAGAGUUGGAAGGAACCCACAAGGAUCAUCAAGUCCAACUUCUGGCCCUGCACAGGACCAUCCCCAAGAGUCACACUAUGUGCUUGAGAAUAUUGUCCAAAUGCUUCUUAAACUGUGUCACACUUGGUGCUGUGACUACUUUUCCGGGUUCACUUCUGUCUGCCCAUCGCUCUGGGUGAAGAACCUUUUUCUAAUAUUCAACUUAUACCUCCCCUGACACAAUUUCAGGCCAUUCCGUCCUGUCACUGGUCACCACUGAGAAGAGAUCAAUGCCUGCUUCUCCUCUUCCUCUCACAAGGAAGUUGUAGACUGCAGCAAGGUCUCCCCUCAGUCUCCUCUUCUCCAGGCUCAACAGACAAAAUGACCUCAGCAGCUCCUCAUAUGGCUUCCCCUUAAGGCCUUCAUCAUCUUCGUUGCCCUCCUUUGGAGGCACUCUCAUCCUUCCUCGGUGCCUGUGCUGAAACAUUUCUGUGCCAUGCAUUAUGAAGCCAGUUUGUUGAGGUGGGUGGGUUGAGCUGCAGGCUGAUGGUUUCCCCUGGUGAUAACAUCAAUCUUUUUUGGUUCACAUUUUCCCCUUUCCCUUGGGGAAAAAUUAGAUUCUAAUUAAUAGGGGUUAGAAAAAGCAGUGCUUCAGAAAACACAAGCUGUAUGCUCAGAUGUUCUUUUCUUUCAGGGCUUUAGUGAUCUAGGUUUCAAGUACAGCUUGGCAAUUCCUGCUAUGUUUACCACUUUCAGCUCUGUAAGAACUUUACGGGUAACAUUUCUGCUAGCGGAGUGAUAUUGCAAGCUCCAAGGCUGUCUCUGACAGAUCUUGAUAGUAUAAAGCUUUUGAAAAAAUGUGAAUUGCAACACCUUAUAUGACAGACUAAGAAGAUUUUCCAAAAGAAAUGCUUUAAGAGUUGCUGCAGUUCCAAGUUUUGCCUUAUUUUUGCUUCACUUUUGCUGUGCUUUGGUUAUCCUGCACAAGACUUCAUCAUUCCCAGAGUAAAGUAGCUUCAAACCUUCAAGCAUCUACCCAGUUCUGGCUACAGUACAUGCAAAAGAUUGUAAAUUAAGCAACUGCAUAGAUUUACCAAAUUCUAAAUAUAGCUACUGGGCACAUUAUCUCAUCAUAACCACAUUGCAGCUUGGCAAUUUUCAUUAAAGGUUAUGUUGUACAGUCAUCUUGAGGUAAGAGCAGUCACACAGAGAGUUAGAGUGCAAUAAGUAGUCUUCUGAAAUACUCAUACAACAAAUUUUUAAGGUGUAUGGUACUGACAUACUGUGUAGUAUAGUCAUAUUGCAUGGUACCAGUAGCAGAAUGUUUCUACUACAGACAGUAUUGUUUCAACCAUAUGACUGCAUUGCAGAAAGCUUCCCUCAUAAAAUCAUUGGCUUCAAACAUUCACUUGAUCUAGAGACAGGGAUCUUUCUUACUAGGGUUUGGCAACCUGACACAGAUUGAUUUAGAAGAUACACUGGUCUUUAGUCAUUUGGUUUAGUUACUUGUUGUUAGUUAUGUCUGGUUUGUUUUGAUUGCUGUUUGUUUCUCACAGGACUGAAGCAUUUUAAAGAGAAGAAUAGUGAAUGCUAGGCUUUGUAUGCUUAUUUGUACAAAUUAAGUUUCAUCACAAAAAAUAGUCAAAUUUCCAGGAUUCAGAAAAAAAAUCAUAAGUAUCAUAACUAUACAGCAAUUGUUCAAAUGUUUGUUUGUAAUGGAAAUUAAAGCAAAGAGUUUUUGUCAAGAUUUCAGUUUUGGUUAUCUGCCCCACAAGCUAAGAUGUGGAAAGAAAUACCAUUUGUUUACAAGCUGCCUCUUUGGUAAGAGGUAGAGAUGUCAUUAGGAUUGCUUGGGACUUAUACAAGAAAGUUUUUUCCUUUUUGUGCCUCUUCUUCCUUGAAGUCCUAUGCCACCAAACACCAUGAUGCUGUAAGAUCCUUUAGUCAGUGGGGCGAAGGUUCUGCUGUUGAGGGCCUGGGUGUUCCUCAUACAAGUGUCUCAGGGAGGGCUUUAGACAGGAUCUGUCCUGACCAGACUGUGUUUGGAGAUGAUGGAACCUCUUUCCCUGUCCGAGAUCCUACCAUUCAUCUGAGUUGGAGCCUCUCCCUCUUGCUCUGCAAGGGGGAGUCCACACUGACUUCAGCAGAUAAGAGAGUCACUCCACAAUGCAGCUCAACCAGGAGCAAAUCUCAAGUUCCUUAUUUUCUCUGUUAGUAUGACAUACAGCUUGGCUUGGUGUAUGUUUAUUGGUAUUGCUGUAGUCUGUAUAUUUCCCACUACAAUUCCAAAUGGGAUUUGCACAUCCUUGUGGAUGCUCUAAAUGGUUUUGACCCCAUGUUGACUGCCAGGGACUUGGUGUAUUGGAGAUCUACUACAGAAGGAGCCUAAGGUAUGAAAAAGUACCACUCUGUCUAGUAAAUAUAUUCAUUUAAUAGAGGGCUUUAAGGAGAUUGCUGCCUCUUAUAUGUCAGCAUCACCCUAUCUAGGAUAACUGCAACAGUGAUAUAAGGAGGGCUUAGAGAAGAGUGAAAGUUACAUAGCUGGAGCUCAGACUCCUACAUAUCGGUCUUUUCUAGCACCAUGAAGUCAGAUAGAUAGGAUGAAGACUACCUUAGAUUUUAAAUUGAUUUUGAAGACCUUUUCAAGAUUUAAUAAAGACUGCAGUAUCAGUUCUUGCACUGGUUGCAUAGUCAUCCCAAGUGUUUCUGCAGGAACAAAAUUAGCUUUGUGCAACAAACUUAGGAGCAACAUUUGAAUUAUACUUAUGGUCACUAGUAAAAGAGUAUUUUUUAACCAUUUUCCACACUCAGUCCCCUUGUUUCCACAGUCACACUUUGUCUUCCUGCUUUAUUUGGAAAGUGCUUAUCUUUCCUGCCUGUUCCUCACAGUGUUUUUAAAAUUUAACAUUUUACUUCUGCCAUUGUUAUUCCCUGAAACUUCUGUGCAUUUUUCAUGAAUAUGUUGUCAUGCCUUCAUUAGAUAAAGAUUUUUUUCCUCUCUGCUGUAAUGAUCUUAUGGUCAGAAUAUGGAUCUUUUUUUGGUUGCUUCAUUUUGGGCAGUGUCUCCCACUUGGGCAUUGUCCAUUAGAACAAAAUAAAGAUAUCACAGUGUUCAGUACAUCU